AGCGGAGCUGACCCCCUACCAGAGGCUGAAGCGGAAAAGUGCUGUCCCGUCCAGAGCGCUGCACCUGGAGGAGCAGGAGCGGAUUCCCUUCUUCAAGUUCUGCUCCCAGUGCGGCCGCUCGGUGGGAGUGCGCCUGGUGCCCUGCACCCGCUGCUACGGGAUCCUGACCUGCAGCAAAUACUGCAAGACCAGAGCCUGGGGCGACUUCCACAAGCGGGACUGCGGCACCCUGUCAGUCAUCGUUCCUUCUCCAGGGCCCCACCUGGAGGACUUGCACAGGAGGGCGGAAGAAUCUCAAUGGCCGGAACAGCUGGGUGCCCGAGGCCUGGGGGGCGCCCAGCGGCAGGCCGCGCCGCCGCCGUGAUCCUCACCUGCUGGCAGCCACACCUUGGGGCGCCUCCGGGCUGCUGGCCUCGUGCAGGACGUCUGCACCUGCAGGGCUGUGCGUGACGACUUCCUCCUGACCUCGCAAUAAAGUGGCCCCACUGCGUGUGUGUUUAACCCUCCCUGCCUUGCUCCGCCGGCCCGUACCCAGACAAAGCCCAGAGCUUCCGAGGGUCUCCCUGGCAUCUGUCAGUUGAUGGGAAGGCUGGGAGGAUGAGGGUCAGGACUGGAGCUCGCUCUAGAGACUACUACCGGAAGGUCACUCCUGCACCGCUGGGGAACGUUUUGGGGCUUCCCAGGUGCUCCCAGCCCUGGCUCUCCAUCUGCAUUCCUGCUGGAAGGCUCCAGGCCCCCUGCUGGUCUCCAGAAGGGGGGGGUGUCCAUAUCUUCCACGUGCAUUUACCGAGUGUGUGUGUGCAUCAGGCAGGCUCUGGGGCGGGGACGGUGGAUAGGAAAAUCCGCCAUGAUUGAGACGGGUG